UACAGAGGUCUCAAGCGUUGUUCGGAUUCAUUGGGCGUAAAGGGUGCGUAGGUGGCGUCGUAAGUCGGGUGUGAAAUUUUCGGAGCUUAACUCCGAAACUGCAUUCGAUACUGCGGUGCUUGAGGACUGGAGAGGAGACUGGAAUUUACGGUGUAGCAGUGAAAUGCGUAGAGAUCGUAAGGAAGACCAGUGGCGAAGGCGGGUCUCUGGACAGUUUCCUGACACUGAGGCACGAAGGCCAGGGGAGCAAACGGG
rnacentral:rRNA from 1 species